CGCGUAGGCGGUUAGUUAAGCUGGAUGUGAAAGCCCAGGGCUCAACCUUGGAACUGCAUUCAGAACUGGCUAGCUAGAGUACGAGAGAGGGUAGUGGAAUUUCCUGUGUAGCGGUGAAAUGCGUAGAUAUAGGAAGGAACACCAGUGGCGAAGGCGACUGCCCGGCUCGAUACUGACGCUGAGGUGCGAAAGCGUGGGGAGCAAACA
rnacentral:rRNA from 1 species